rnacentral:misc_RNA from 1 species
UAGUGUAUGUUAAUAAUUAAAAUGGCGAUUUGAGAAUCAUAUUCUUGAGUGUUAUUAUAUUAUUUGCGUAAAAUAUUGAUAGAAGACUUCAAAUAGUCGUUUUUAUACAGCAGUGUUGAAUAUUUAGUUGAGUUUACCAUGCGUUCAGUAGUAGAAAUUGGGGCCAGUGUGCCUGCGUUUCUAGGAAAAUUAUGGAAACUGGUCAACGAUACAGAGACCAAUCAUCUGAUUUCCUGGAGCCCUGGCGGGAAAACAUUUGUCAUAAAAAACCAGGCAGACUUUGCAAGGGAACUCUUACCUUUAUAUUACAAACAUAACAAUAUGGCAAGCUUCAUUAGGCAGUUGAAUAUGUAUGGAUUUCAUAAGAUUACUUCUGUGGAAAAUGGUGGCUUACGAUAUGAAAAGGAUGAAAUAGAAUUCUCACACCCUUGCUUCAUGAAAGGACAUGCAUAUCUUUUAGAACACAUUAAAAGAAAGAUUGCCAACCCAAAGUCAAUAGUAACUAGCAAUGAAAGCGGAGAGAAAGUACUUCUGAAACCAGAGCUGAUGAACAAAGUGCUGUCUGACGUGAAACAAAUGAAAGGCAAGCAGGAGAGUCUGGAUGCCAAGUUCAGUGCCAUGAAACAGGAAAAUGAAGCUUUGUGGAGAGAAGUUGCUAUUCUGAGACAGAAGCACAUAAAACAACAGCAAAUUGUUAACAAUCUUAUUCAAUUCCUUAUGUCACUGGUUCAACCGACUAGGCCACCCAAUGCAACUGGAAACAAUGUGGGAGUAAAGAGACCAUACCAAUUGAUGAUCAACAGUGCAGCACACAAUUCUGGUACAGACGGAUCUUACCCUGGCAGAUCAAAGAACAUGAAAUUAGACAGAGAUAAUUUAUUGGAUGAGUUAAAUGAGGAUAAUUUGGAGGAUGGACCUACCAUUCAUGAGCUGGCACAUGAUGAUAUCAUGCACAAUGAAAACACUCAGGACUCCAUGCCUGGAAACGAUUUCAUUACAGUGGAUAUACCUAACAUGACAAAUGCUACCACUAGCCAUAGCCCAAAUGACCCCUCUGCCUCCAUAUACCAUGUCACAAUGGAAGAUGGGGAUGAUGCUGAAACAGGUGCAAACCGAUUGGUAUAUCCAGUAGCACGUACCAAUGGUAUGAAUAGGACACCAGAAAGCAUGCCGAUCAUUACAUCAGCAUCUCCAACACCACUCGCAACUUCUUCAAUGGACCAGAAUGGAUUAGAUCAGGUUGUAAACAAUGUGAUGGGCUCACCGUCACCAAUCGUUGUAAAAGUUGAGGGACACGUGCCAACUAAGACGAAAGGUCGUACCAAUCCCGCAAACAAGAGUACUGUUACAUCUGCAGGCAAAAGUCUAUCAUCAGGAAACUACAACACACUAAACCCAUCAGCUGACUUGAAACUGCCAGCAGAAAUCUUUGCCAGUGAUGAUUCAGUCAGCGAUGCUGGAGUAGCGGCUGCUGAUGACCUUACCAUGCAAAAUGCACUACAAGAUUUAGUUGAUGAGUCCCUACUAUCAACAUCAAAAGAUAAAAUGCUUGGUGGUAUCAAUAUUAAAGUAGAAAGGCUAGGAGAACCAUUAAAAGCUAAUAGGAAAUCUAAGAAAGGUAACAAAAGUACUGAAAACACCUUGAAUUUGGCUGAUAUUAAAACGGAAUUCCAGGAUGACUUUGAUUGGAACAAUAUGACUCUAGCAACUGUCAACAACAAUACUAAUAGGUUCCAGACAAGGAAUGAUAUUGAUGACCAUUUGGAUGCGAUGCAAACAGACCUUGAAUCGCUAAGAGACCUGCUACGAAGUGACAGCUACGCAUUUGACACCAAUACGUUGUUGGGGCUAUUUGGGUCUGAUGACCCCUUCUACGGCCUGCCCUAUAACUCGAUGGAAGACAGGGCAAAAUCUGCUAAUAAUGAUACAACCAAACAGUAUCCGAUGAUUGAUUUUGAUUGGCUGAUCGGUAACAGCGAGGCCUCCUCUACAAAGUAGCCUGUUGCUACAUCAACUUGCAAGUUUUCAACGCUGACCGCGUCUCAGCCACGUGACGUGGUGGAUAUUUUUGGUAAAGGGUUAAUAUAGCCGUGGUGUUCUGGUCAGUGCUACGGACGAUAGGUAGACUGUCGCGACAAAAGUGACUCGAUUAGGGGUUCGCUCUCGAUUGACUCAAUUCGUCUCAAAAACGCAAUUUGUGCAGAACAGUGUAAAUUUCAUAUCAAUUUAUAUCAAAAAUUUUAUAUUAUAUGUAUGUAAAUAUUGUUAUCACAACUUUAAGAAGAUAGUAGUUGGGGAGAGUUAAGGCUCAACAGUUUACUGUGAGUUAUUGGGAAUAGACUAACGCACAAUGCCACAAAGUGGAUUAAUAUUUAAGAUUAUCAUUUUUGCCGCGACAUACAGACAAUUCCUUCUGUGAGCAUUAAGUGUAUGCCUAAGUUAUCUUGUUAAAAUAAGACAGUUUAAAUCUAUAAAUGUUAUAUUGUUAACCGUAAUUAUAUUUUAUUGUUAAUUAAAGCAAAGAAGCAGAAAGGUGAGAUUUCGAAUGUAAGCAGUGACGACACUCGCGUCCAGAACCUGUUUACUGAGGAUAAUGGUAGUAAUUCAGCUCUCGCAUUCUUAUUGCAAAUGUAGAAUUAUAAAAAUAUAAUUUUGCACGAUUUAACUGUAGACAUUGAUUUACACUCUGAAAUUUUUUAAACUGGAACCGAUGAUCCAAACUUUAGUGUCCUGCUUAUGUUUAAGUACAUGUUAGUGCUUAUUUUUUUUCAGAGGCAAUUAUGUUUUAAGUUAUACUUCAUCAUCGGUUUCUGAAAUUUACGUUAGUAUUAUAUUGUUUAUGUUAUCUGAGAAAGCGUACUGCAUUAUAUUUACUUCAAUUAUUUUUAAAUGCUACGCGCUGAUAGUACCAUUACUCUGCAGCUGCAUUUCAUAGCGUUUAACUUUAUGUUCAUUUUGUUUAUAAACUUUGGGCGUGGGUUGUAUGUAUAUCGUACGUAGUGAUCUAGCAUAAGUUCGAUGUUAUGUUAUAGGUAUGAUAUUGCUCUCAAACAUAUACCUAUUUAGUAUUAAGGAUUGACAAAUAUAUUUUUAUGUACUAUUUAGUUAUUGAUUGCUUUUAAAGUAUUCGCAUGGUUGAUUAUGACAUUGUUAUACCUAUAAAAAGUUUACCAUUAUUGUUAUAUGCUAUAGAUAACGUAGAUCCUCUAGUAUUUUUAGGAGACCUAUCUAUAAUUCAAUGUUAGUAUGUAGUUAACUGCAGUCGGUUUAUAAGUUCAUAUUUAAAAAAUAUUAAUAAUAUUUUUUUGGGCAACUUUCAGUUGAAGGGAAUCAGCUAAUCUCGUAUACAGGGAAUAUUCCAGACUUUGAGGAUAUAAACAUGCCAGAUCUGGAGUGCGAUAAUUCUCAGGAGCCUUGCGUGUUACCCAGCCCCAGCAGCUCGACGCUAAACACGCCGCAGAUGCAGAUACGAUCGCCCUCCUUUACUUUGAAACCAUGAGGAAAGCCUAAAAAACGGCGACACAAGAAGAAACGUUCGUCCAAACAGUGAAAUUCUUAAUAUUUCACUUUAGUUAAACUUGUGUGUGACUGACUUUUAUAACUGAUUAGUGUAGUCUAUACAUGUAGCCGAGAAAGAAAAACAAAAAUAAAAUAUACAAUUAGAUUUAGGGGCCGUCAUCACAAGUUUUUAUUGGUUUGCUAUUUAGACGAACUGAUUCAGUGAAAAUAUUUUUACUAUGUAAACUUUUCAAGAAAGACCAUAAAUAAGUUUAUAGUUAUCUGCUUGGACACUGUUUUCCAUAAACAGAGCAUGAUUUAUAAUCUUGUUUCUCUAAAUAGAUUAACGUUUGCUUUGAUCAAUAACUUACAAAAUUUAACCAAAAAAGAUAGGUAUAAGUUGUUACAAGGAAUAUUGUAUUGAUUUGUAAAAUAAUGCAGCAAGAAAAGCUUUAUCUAACAUAUAUUAAUACUUUGCAUCAAAAAUAUUGAUUCGCACAUUCAACCUCAAAAUUUACUGUACGAAAUCUACAAAAUAGUCUGAUGAUGGGUAUUUAUUAACUUUAAAUUAUAAUAUUCUAGUUGCCUGAAUAUAAUCUCGUAUAUUGAACAAAAACUUGAUCCAAAUAUAAGUUUUUAUAUAAUAUGGAUUUUGUAAAAUAUUAGGAUAGUAAUAUGUAUUUAUAUCUCAUGACUGAGGUUCAUUGCACAGUUCGAAUAUAAGUGCUUCUAAACAUAAUAAUUACAAGUGUAAAUGGAACUUAUCCCCACAAAAAUUAGUAAUA